GACGAACGCUGGCGGCGUGCUUAACACAUGCAAGUCGAACGGAAAGGCCCUUCGGGUUACUCGAGUAGCUUACGGGUGGGUAACACGUUGGUGAUCUGCUCUGCACUUUGUGAUAAGCCUGUGACACUGGGUCUAAUACCGUAUAAGACCACGCGCUUCAGGGUGGGUGGGUGCAAGCGUGUGCGGUGUGGGAUGGGCCCGCUGCCGAUCAGCUUGUUGGGGGAGUAAUGGCCUACCAAGGCGACGACUGCUAGCCGGCCCGAGAGUGUGACCGGCCACAAUGGGCCUGCGAGACGGACCAGAAGCCAACGGGCGGCAGCAGUCGAGAGUCUUGCACAAUGGGGCCAAGCCUGAUGUAGCGACGCCGCGUGCGGGAUGACGGCCUUCGGGUUGUAAACAUAUUUCAAUAGGGACGAAGCCGAAGUGACGGUACCUAUAGAAGAAGCACCGGCUAACUACGUG
rnacentral:rRNA from 1 species